ensembl:lncRNA
CCAUCUUGGGUGGAUUGACUUGGGCUGAAGGACACCAAGAAGGGCUCAGUAAGUCUUGCUCAUCAAUGGAAACGGUAUCUCUGGUAGGGGCCAUCCUGAUGAGCCUGACGGGAGGCAAGUGCUGACAGAGCGUUGCACUGCCUUUACUGCCACUAUUGCUGCCUGUGUUCGUCAUGGUCUGGACAUGAUCCACACGCAUCAUCAUAAACUGGGCAAAGUAGAAGAGUCUAUGUUUCUGAUGCAAAGGCUACCACUGCAUGUCAGACUUGGACUGCUGACAAAAAGUGACACAUUCAUUUCACAGGGAGUAAGGAUACAUUGUGUGAGUGUGGUCCCCACCCACUCCUGGCAUUUUGAUUACAUUGGACUUCUGACCCCGUCUCAGGGCUAUUGGUAAUGGCUCGCUGCUCCUGACCCUUUUUCAGCUUUGGUGUUAUUGGUCUAGUCCAAUCAACUGACUCUAACCACACCACUGUGGCCCCUGAACACUAAUCUGUGUCAUGCUUUUGGCUUUCUGGUCCAUUUACAGUCUGACAAAGGUACACUUGUUAUUGCAAAGGUCACUCAAUAAUGGGCUACUGGCUAAGGUAUUUAGAGCACUUUCCAUGCUGCUAUCCUUAGACCUCUGGUGUUGUUGAGCGUGGGUAACGGUCACUUCAAAAAUCAACUCAAAAAGACCUCUUCUUCUAUAUCGCUCACCUCCUCCUAGUUCACAUGCUUUAAUACUAAGUAUUGUGG